UGCAAGUCGACGAUGAACCCACUUCGGGUUGUGGGGGAUUAGUGGGUCGAACGGGGGUGAGUGUAAACAACGUGGGGCAAUCUGCCCUGCACUCUUGGGACAAAGGCCCUGGAAACGGGGUCUUAAUACCGGAUACCGGACCACCUUCAGGCAUCUGAUGGUGGGUGGAAAGCUCCGGCGGUGCAGGGAUGAGCCUCGCGGCCUUCAGCUUGUUUGGUGAGGUAACGGCUCACCAAGGCGACGACGGGUAGCCGGCCUGAGAGGGCGACCGGCCACACUGGGACUGAGACACGGCCCAGACUCCUACGGGAGGCAGCAGUGGGGAAUAUUGCACAAUGGGCGAAAGCCUGAUGCAGCGACGCCGCGUGAGGGAUGACGGCCUUCGGGUUGUAAACCUCUUUCAGCAGGGAAGAAGCGCAAGUGACGGUACCUGCAGAAGAAGCGCCGGUCUAACUACGUGCCAGCAGCCGCGGUAAUACGUAGGGCGCAAGCGUUGUCCGGAAUUAUUGGGCGUAAAGAGCUCGUAGGCGGCUUGUCGCGUCGGAUGUGAAAGCCCGGGGGCUUAACCCCGGGUCUGCAUUCGAUACGGGCAGGCUAGAGUGUGGUAGGGGAGAUCGGAAUUCCUGGUGUAGCGGUGAAAUGCGCAGAUAUCAGGAGGAACACCGGUGGCGAAGGCGGAUCUCUGGGCCAUUACUGACGCUGAGGAGCGAAAGCGUGGGGAGCGAACAGGAUUAUGAUACCCUGGUAGUCCACGCCGUAAACGUUGGGAACUAGGUGUUGGCGACAUUCCACGUCGUCGGUGCCGCAGCUAACGCAUUAAGUUCCCCCGGCGUGGGGGGGGAGGGCCGCAAGGCUAAAAACUCAAAGGAAUUGACGGGGGGCCCGCACAAGCAGCGGAAGCAUGUGGCUUAAUUCGACGCAUCGCGAAGAACCUUACCAAGGGCUUGACAUACACCGGAAUCCCGAGAGAUAGUGCCCCCUUGUGGUACGGUGUACAGGUGGUGCAUGGCUGUCGCUCAGCUC
rnacentral:rRNA from 1 species